rnacentral:rRNA from 1 species
CGACCCCAGGUCAGGCGGGGCUACCCGCUGAGUUUAAGCAUAUCAAUAU